UACGUAGGGUGCAAGCGUUGUCCGGAAUUAUUGGGCGUAAAGAGCUCGUAGGCGGUCUGUCGCGUCGGCUGUGAAACCUUGGGCUCAACCCCAAGCCUGCAGUCGAUACGGGCAGACUAGAGUGCGGUAGGGGAGACUGGAAUUCCUGGUGUAGCGGUGAAAUGCGCAGAUAUCAGGAGGAACACCGGUGGCGAAAGCGCUCUACUGGGCCAAGACUGACACUGAGGGACGAAAGCUAGGGAGCGAAGGG
rnacentral:rRNA from 1 species